rnacentral:rRNA from 1 species
AGAGUUUGAUCUUGGCUCCACAUGAACCCUAGCAACCUGCCUUAUACAUGCGAGUCUAAUUUUAAUUUCAAGUGUAUACUAUUUAGUAUAUACCUCUAGUAUAUUAAAAUGGCGUACGAGUGAGUAACAGCUGGGAAGCUACCCUUAAUUUCUGGUAACUCCAGUGAAAACAAAAUUGGAUUAAGGAGGCGCCCGACGAGGAUUAGAUAUGUUGGUGGGAUAAUAGCUUACCAAAUCGAAGAUCCUUAGCCAUCCUGAGAGGGAGAUUGGCCACGCCGGAACUGAAACAAGGUCCGGGCUCAUAUGAGCCAGCAGUAGGGAAUAUUGGACAAUGGGCGAAAGCCUGAUCCAGCAAGGUUGCGUGAGGGAAGAAGGUCAAUUGACUGUAAACCUCUUUCACCGAGGAAGACUUAUGACGGUACUCGGAAAAGAAGCUCUAGCAAAUCUCGUGCCAGCAGCUGCGGUAAUACGUGAAGAGCGAGGGUUAUGAAUCAUGAUUGGGUGUAAAGCAGGAUAAGGUGAUAAGUACAAGUUUGAAAUCAACCAACCCAAAGGAAGGCAAGGUUUCAAAAACUAACUUAAUUGAGGUAUUGACAAGUUGAAAGCGGAAUUAUAAGGGGAGCGGUACAAUGCGUUUUAUCCUUGUAGGAACACCAAAGGGGACAACCAGCCAACUAGCAAUUACCUGCCACUAGACCUGAAACCUAGGGUAGCAACACGGAUUAGAUACCCGUUUAGUCCUAGGCGCAAACGAUGGAUGCUCGUCACAAUGAAACAAUCUUGUAGACUCAGCUAACGCGCAAGCAUCCCACCUAGUAAGUACGCUCGCAAGGGUGAAAACUAAAUAGAAUAGGCGGCUUUAGGAACGACCAGAGGAGCAUGCAACUUAAUUUGAUAUUACGCAACAAACCUUACCUAGGCUUGCAUUUUUACUGAUGAGAGACGUUAACUCCGUCUACUCGGGCACAAGAACCUAUGGUUCUGUAUAUGUGUCCUAUAUGUUUAAACAUGUUUUGCAUGAUCGUAUUCAGCUCGAUGUUUUGAAAUGUUAGGUUAAGUCCUUUAACGAGCGCAACCCACGUCUCUAGUUGGGAUAUAAUUACGAUGUAGUUGUAAUUAUAUCUAAUGAGUUGAACUCAUAUACCUCUCUAAAGAUACUGCCGUGGAAAAAGCGGAGGAAGGAGUGGAUGACUACAGAUCACCAUGAACAUUAUGCUUAGGGCUGUAAGCGUGCUACAAUCGGAUCUACAAAGGGAAGCAAUGAGGCGACUCAUCGCCAAUCCUUAAAAGAUUUCGUAAAUUAGGAUUGAAGACUGCAACUCGUCUUCAUGAAUUCGGAUUUGGAAGUAAUCGUGGACCAGAGCGCCACGGUGAAUAGUAAAACCUAAAGUGUACUUCUUGCCC